rnacentral:rRNA from 1 species
GAUAGCAAUAUCAUAGUGGCGCACGGGUGCGUAACACGUAUGCAACCUACCUUAUACUGGGGAAUAACUUCGAGAAAUCGGCGCUAAUACCCCAUAACAUUGCGAAGAGGCAUCUCUUUGCACUUAAAGCUCCGGCGGUAUAAGAUGGGCAUGCGUCCAAUUAGCUAGUUGGUGAGGUAAUGGCUCACCAAGGCUACGAUUGGUAGGGGUUCUGAGAGGAUGAUCCCCCACACUGGUACUGAGACACGGACCAGACUCCUACGGGAGGCAGCAGUGAGGAAUAUUGCGCAAUGGACGAAAGUCUGACGCAGCCAUGCCGCGUGCAGGAUGACGGCCCUAUGGGUUGUAAACUGCUUUUGUAUGGGAAUAAACCCUUCUACGUGUAGAAGGCUGAAGGUACCAUAAGAAUAAGCACCGGCUAACUCCGUGCCAGCAGCCGCGGUAAUACGGAGGGUGCAAGCGUUAUCCGGAUUUAUUGGGUUUAAAGGGUCCGUAGGCGGGCCGAUAAGUCAGUGGUGAAAGCCCAUAGCUCAACUAUGGAACUGCCAUUGAUACUGUCGGUCUUGAGUAUAUGUGAUGUUGGCGGAAUGUGUAGUGUAGCGGUGAAAUGCUUAGAUAUUACACAGAACACCGAUUGCGAAGGCAGCUGACAAAUAUAUAACUGACGCUGAGGGACGAAAGUGUGGGGAUCAAACAGGAUUAGAUGCCCUGGUAGUCCACACCGUAAACGAUGAUUACUAGAUUUUGGCCUUAUGGUCAGAGUCCAAGCGAAAGUGUUAAGUAAUC